rnacentral:rRNA from 1 species
UAAUACAGAGGUGCCGAGCGUUAGGCGGAAUCACUGGGCUUAAAGCGCGUGUAGGCGGGUCGUUAAGUGUCCGCGUGAAAUCCCACGGCUCAACCGUGGAACGGCCGGGCAGACUGGCGACCUUGAGGCAUUCAGGGGCGAGCGGAACGAACGGUGGAGCGGUGAAAUGCGUAGAUAUCGUUCGGAACGCCGACGGUGAAAACAGCUCGCUGGGAAUGUCCUGACGCUGAGACGCGAAAGCCAGGGGAGCGAACGGGAUUAGAUACCCCGGUAGUCCUGGCCCUAAACGAUGUCCACUAGGUCGCGGCGGCUCUGACGCCGUCGCGGCCGGAGCAAAAGUGUUAAGUGGACCGCCUGGGAAGUACGGUCGCAAGGCUA